rnacentral:rRNA from 1 species
UACAGAGGGUGCGAGCGUUUAAUCGGAAUUACUGGGCGUAAAGGGUGCGUAGGUGGUUAUGUAAGUUAGGUGUGAAAUUCCUGGCUUAACCUGGGGACUGCGCCUGAUACUGUGUAGCUAGAGUACUGUAGAGGAAAGUGGAAUUUCCGGUGUAGCGGUGAAAUGCGUAGAUAUCGGAAGGAACAUCGGUGGCGAAGGCGACUUUCUGGACAGCUACUGACACUGAGGCACGAAAGCAUGGGGAGCAAACAGG